AUGAGAGCCGCAUUGGUCACGACGGUGCAUGACUAUCUCGGUUGCGGAUAUCUCGCGGGGCAGGUGGUCCACGGAUUUUCUGGAUGCGUCAGGUGCAUGGAUGACACAACGUAUCGCCAGCUAGAUAGAGAUCCCGGGUCUUCGAAAACCGUGUUCAUGGGACAUCGAAGGUGGCUUCGCGACGAUGACUCAUGGAGGAAACGCAAGGAUCUGUUCGAUGGUGAAACCGAAACCCGAAGACGCCCGCGUACGAGGAGCGGCGAGGAAAUAGACGAGCUGUUGAAAAAUUGGAAAGAUUGCCCACUGCCGGGAAAGAAGCAAAAGGCGCCAGAGCCGGGAAAGAAGCGAAAGACACAAGAGCCGCUACUGAAGGUAUGGAAAACGAGGUCUGUUUUCUGGGACUUGCCGUACUGGAAGAUCCACCGUGUGCCUCACAGCCUUGAUGUCAUGCAUAUCACGAAGAACAUGUGCGAGAGUCUGCUUGGUACCCUGCUCAACAUGCCUGAGAGGACCAAAGAUUGGCCGAAAGCAAGGGCAGACUUGAAAUCAAUGGGCAUCAGGGAGGAGCUUCAGGCUAAUGAUGAUGAUGAUGAGGCGAAGCAGGACACGGAAAGUCGUCGCAAAGGCAAAAAGGCCAAGAAGACCGGAAAUGACUUCCCUCCCGCGUGCUUCACUCUAAGUCAGGAGGAGAUCGAUCAGUUUUUCACCUGCCUCGUAGGAGUAAAACUUCCUUACGGUUAUGCGGGGAAGAUAAUCAGAUACCUAGACUCAGCGAAGCAGAAGUUCAGCGGGAUGAAGUCUCACGACUGUCACGUGCUGAUGACGCAGAUACUUCCAGUUGCAAUCCGUGGGAUCAUGGACGCGCACGUGCGUGAAACGCUAUUUGGCCUAUGCAACUUUUUCGACGUCAUCUCUCGGAAGUCGGUUGGCGUGAGGCAACUCAGAAGGCUACAGGAAGAGAUCGUGGUGAUACUAUGCGAGCUUGAGAUGUAC
rnacentral:rRNA from 1 species